AACAAACGCUGGCGGCGUGCCUAAUACAUGCAAGUCGAACGAGGAAAGCUUUCGGGUGAGUACUAGUGGCGCACGGGUGAGGAAUAUAUGGGUAAUCUGCCCUCGAGUUUGGGAUAACCAGUCGAAAGAUUGGCUAAUACCGGAUAAGACCACAGGAUCUGCGGAACUAGGGGUUAAAGGUUUUUCGCUUGAGGAUGAGACCAUAUGGGAUUAGCUAGUUGGUAGGGUAACGGCCUACCAAGGCUACGAUCCCUAACUGGUCUUAGAGGAUGAUCAGUCACACUGGAACUGAGACACGGUCCAGACUCCUACGGGAGGCAGCAGUAGGGAAUAUUGCACAAUGGGAGAAACCCUGAUGCAGCGACGCCGCGUGAGUGAUGAAGGCCUUCGGGUCGUAAAGCUCUGUCGUAUGGGACUAACAAAAUGAAGGUACCAUGCAAGAAAGGAUCGGCUAACUUCGUGCCAGCCGCCGCGGUAACAC
rnacentral:rRNA from 1 species